rnacentral:lncRNA from 1 species
CCUGACGUAGAAGUCAAGCAAGACUUGGGGGACGUGGCCGGAGCCGUGCACCGCCAUGUCUCGAGUCAGGGGGAGGAGGAGUUUUGGUCUGAUAUAGACUGGUUUGAGUCCAGAAAUGGAGAGGGAGGUGAGUCUAGGGCACCUUUUAGGAUGUAUGGCCCCCAGUUGACAUGCAUGAGCAUGGAGCAUAUGAUCGAGUUUCCUGGGAGUACUGGGAAUACGCCGUUGAUGCCAUACAGCUGUAUUUGAUAAGGAGAGGAGACCCGUACACGUGUCGUAUCAUGUCGGAAAUGUGGAAGGGGAAGGGUUGAUAAUGGUGACGCCAUCUCCGGAAGGAGGGCUCGCGAGGAUGGUUACGGUGACGUUGCCGGAGGAGGAACUAGAGCAGCUUCGUGAGGAUGAAAUUAUUCUGAGCCAAAACCCAGUAAUGAUCGUAAGUGGGACGAGACAAGCAUAAAUUUUCUUUUAUAUCCAAGGAAUAAAAAGGUCUUAACGAUCUUUUUCGAGUUGAUUUUGUGUUUAUGUAUGUUAAAUGUGCAUGAUUAUUACAGUUCUAAAAUUGUAUUAAAAUAGACCUGAUAGUCUCACACAUCUUGAGCUUGAUUUUAUAUAUUCUGUUUACUUCAGUGACUCUCUCUCUCUCUCUCUCUCUGGGUCUCUAUCAGAGCUAGGAGAUUAGGGUUUUCUUGAUUGAAACCAUUAUUAGGUUAAUUAUACUGUAAGAGGUCAUAUAAUGAAAUCUUUAGUCUUCCUUAUGACAAAGGAACUGUGAUUUACGGUUCACACACGCAUUUAUUGCGAAAAAAAUGUAACACAUGCAUGAUCGAUGUAGACAAAGAAGCAACAUCAAGAAAUUAAGAUUAGUUGAGAAUCUAAAUCCUUAGUGAGUUAGUGUUACUUCCGGUAUAAAAUUGUAUAAUGCAGUUCAAAUAUCACUGUGUAUUUAUUAUUUUGUUAUUGGAAACGAUUACACUUUAUUCAUAAUAACUAGUAGCAUUACAAUGAAACUUGCACGUCACACAGUGUGGCAUAGAGAAAAUAAGUUCCUCACAUAUGGUACUACUUGAAGAAGUACAAAUUAAUGGGAUAUGAUAUCCCAUAUUUAACUUACUUAUCAAAGAGAAGUUUCGUUUGCUUCAAAACACAUAUUACUGAUGAUAUAGUCAAGAACUCAAGAUUGAGAUGAACUAGUUCAGAGUCUUUUGAGGAGUGUUGGCAUAUUUCCAUUGCACAUGACUCGAGCUUGGAUACGUUUUAUCACCAGCUACUUCAUCUAGUGGAACAGCUUCAGUGAUUUCUUUGAGGUCAUCUUCCUUGAGAUUCAGACUUAAGGAGCCAAUGUUGGUAUCCAGGUUCUUAAUCUUUGUUGUCCCUGCAUGUAUAUGUAUGUGGAAAUUAGUUCAAAGUAUUAUAAUCUUUGUCGUCUGCAUUAUUUAACUUGAAGAUCGACGAAGAGGUUCUCAGACUCACCGGGGAUUGGUACAACGUCAUCACCUUGGUGGAGAACCCACGACAGUGCUAGUUGAGCAGGAGAGCAAUGGUGCUUAGUUGUAGCAAGGCUUUCUAUUGCCUGGUAUAUGUGUCUGUUCUUCUCCAAGUUCUCUCCAGUUAGCCGAGGAUGGGAGGCCUGGUAUUACAAAAUCCAAGAUUAUGUCACAUACUAAUGCCAUAAUGAAAUGCUCGGUUUCUGAAUUACAGAGCUCUCUGUUUAGACGUGUGCUAUAUCAUGCUCUAUACGUGUGUUCUAAGUUUGUCAUAGAAUUUGAGAAGAUAUCAAUGUAAGGGAGAAAACGAUUUGUACCCCAUGAACAUUUGGAUCCAAACUUUCGACAACUGCUUUGCCUGCGAAGAAACCACGACCAAGAGGACUAUAUGGAACUAUUCCAAUGCCACGCUCCCUGCAUCAUGUGAUCAUGAGAAUUUAAGAUUGAUUGAUGUACAUGUGAUAUGGGAAUCGAAGAAUAGUAUGAUGGAAUGGAAAAACACCAUCAUUGUGCAUGAAAUCUUUAUAUUCAUAUAGCAUUCCUAAAUCUACACAAUCUGUAUGAUGUUUACAUCAUUCAUUUUCAUCUGACGAUACCAGCCCAUAUGUACACCUCUGUCCCUCAUUUCUGCAUUUGUUCUUGUGUGUCCUUAUCAAUGCUACUUUGAUUAAAUAUAUCAGAUAUUAGAAGAAAUUAAAGAAGAUUCAACUAAUAAUGAUAGGUGAAUCUAUUUGUGAGAAUGAAAGAACUAUCAUCAUCCCAAUUCACUCUCUAGUUGGAAAGACACAUGUCUUCGAAAAAUUUUAAGGAGAAUCUCACCGAUUAAUCAGUAAUAACACCCUAGCAUCUUGUUGAAUUAUUCAAAUGCAAAAAGAACUGGAAGGACUCUAUGAAAAAGAGAAUGGGAACAUUUAAACUCUAGACAAUGUUCCAAAUAAUGCUGAUCAUGAUAUAUUUGUUUGAUCCGUAUAUCAUACACUCUUAUAUGAGUCCUUGUUAUUUAUGCUCUUCAUUUUAAUAUAUAGCUUACAUGUAAAUGAUGAUUACAAAGAAUUAAUGAUGACAAUUAUAUUGAACAUUUUCUCAGUUUAUAUAUAGUGAGGGAUACUGUGUUGAUCCUACCAAAAAAAAAAAAAGUUUAAUACAUAAAUAUUAAUCUUGAAAUGAAUUAAUUAUAUACCUGCAAAGUGGAAUAAUCUCUUCUUCAAUAUCUCUAGUCCAAAGAGACCACUCCAUUUGCACAGCUGUGAUGGGAUGCACAGCAUGUGCUCUCCUUAUUGUGUCUGGACUGGCUUCAGAUAACCCAAUAUACUUGAUCUUUCCUUCUUCCACAAGUUUCUUCAGCUCUCCCAUCUAAAAUCCAACAACAAAAAAGAGCAAGUAUCUUAUCACAUUUCCGUCUGGGGUUGUUUCGGAUGCUCGAAAUUGUUCUCUAUAUUGGUAGUAUGCAUAUGUUCAAAUGAAAAUUACAGUUUGAUUUCAAACUUACAGUAUCCUCUAUUGGCACCGUUUGAUCAAUGCGGUGAUAAUAGUAGAGGUCAAUGUAGUCGACGCCAAGACGCUUCAAGCUAGCCUCGCAGCAUGACCGGACAUACUCAGGAGUUCCCUUCACCACCAAGCGAGGAGGUCCUAAGCUUACAACACCAAACUUCGUUGCUAGUUGAACCUCUUCCCUUGGCAACUGCUUCAGGGCCUAAAACAACAUACAGAAAAUUAGUCUGCCUCUCAUUACCACUAUCUGUGAUGUUUCCUCAAACUAACUACCCCAUUUGUGGAACUGGACUUUGAUAGUAUCAGAAUUCAGUAACAAAAAUUCACAUUGCAUUUGAUAAUCUCUACAAAAACACUUGGACAAAUGCUUUAAGGAAAGUUCACCAGCGAAGGUGUGAUCAAAUCAUCAAAUCAUCAAAUUAUCUUACUUACCUUGCCAACAAGAAUUUCAUUGGCAUGAUCAGUUCCGUAUAUAUCAGAUGUGUCGAAGAAAGUGAUUCCUUUACUGAAGGCAUGCUUUAUAAUGGAGAUUCCAUCCUCUUCAGCACCAGGAGACUUGACAAACGUCAAUCCCAUGCAUCCAAACCCCAAUUUUGAAACCUGAAGUUAAUGCAAUUAUGGGAUAUAAGAAAUAAACCAAACAAAGCUACUCAAAGGAAGUUAAUUAUUCAGGAAUGAAAGAAAAUGCAGGAGGAAUAUUAUAUCUGACCUCAAAUCCUUGAGUUCCUAGUUUAACCUUUGGGAUCUGUAUUUCCUUCUGUUCAGCCAUUUCUUCGAUCUCUUCCUGCGAAUGAUUACUUUUGAGUUGUGAAACUGGGAAUGGGAUUGUCAAGAGUGAAGUUCAAGAUUUACGAAACUCUUUAGUCUGUAGUGUUUGAAAUUGUAGAUAUGAUUCUGUGGUUAUAUAUGUACUCUCACACUGGCGAGUGACAUCAUUGACUAUGUCAUAGUAUCUAGUUCUCAUAAUCUCAUUGACUACUUUUCAGAGUAUCUGGUCCUAGUUAUAGCAAUAUGUCAAUAUGGCUUUUCUUUCGGUAAGUGAUUAUGUCACUACUAAACAAGUAAUAAUUGACAUCACUGCUUAUGCAUGUCUUGGCUUUACUGCUUGCAGGGGUACACCUUGUGCAUUACUGCGAGGAUGACAAAAAACAGUGUAUACCAUAAAUCUUUAUCAUUUGGCCCAAAGCCAGAGGCUUCCGAUACAAACUGGCCAGCGCUUUGUCACCAAAAGCAACAUUCUUGAGUCAAAUAGAUCCAACCUCCAAUCAAAUUUUAUUGUUGACAUGAUAUACCCAAGUCUAAGAGUAACAAUACAAUAUUAUUACCAACAAUAAACCGAGCUAAUUAACUUUCUUCAACACUAUGUCUAAAAAUCAUUAGACCACGUGCAAAGAUAAUUUACUCAUAUAUUAACAAUCAGACAACAUCGCAAUGAGAACAUUUAUGUCACACUCAGAUUUUUGAAAUUUUUUAUUUUUUAUUUUUUUAUUUAGGUGUAACUCAUAUUCCAAAACUAGAAUAAAUUUUCCAUAAAUAGAAUAUGAAAGAAAUUGGAAAAGAAUACAUUGAUACUCAACUGAAAGAUCACUCUUUAUUUCCAAGUAGUUCAUAAAGUAGCUUACAAAGAUAGCUAGACUAAUGAAAGUCUACAUCUUAUUCUAAGAAAACAAACAACAAACAUAUUUCACAUGAACUAAAACAUUCUUACAAGAAAUCAACUUCAGACAACUUGUUCCUCACUUGCAAAACAUUUAGAGGGGUGAGCUUAAAUAGCCUAAUAGGAGACAAAACCUCUUCAAACAAUACAAAUCAGAAUACAAUAUUUAUAUACAUGUGUAUGAUCUGCUCCAUAUAGUUCAUAUAACAAAAUACACCAAGUCUAUAUGUCUCAUAUCAUGUAUUUUACCACAAGGGCGACUUGGAGUAUCUAUUUACAUAAACUAUCUCCCUCUAACCCCUUUUGCUAGUCAUCUUGUCCAUUCCCCUUUCACCAAUCUCGAAUUACCCUUUCCAUAACCUAUACUACUUGCGCAUCAAUAUGGGCAUACCUGGGAUAUGGUUCCUACUGAAGAUAUGGACUCAACUACACAAAAGUUUUAUUACUCACUUUUUUAUCCCAAAUGCUUUAUGCAUAGUACUACACUCUCUUAUACUUUAUAUGGAAACAACACCUUUAUGAAUUUAAACAAACCAUAUCAGUAAUCUGGCAACAAGAAAAUAAACAAUUCAGACAAUCCGUAAAACCACUUAUAAGGCAAACAUAGAGGUUCCCCAAGUUUCCUCCUACCUUUGCCGGAUCGAUCUUCAAGUUUCAAGCUCCUAAUAAAAGAUGAAUCAUUAGUUAAAAAGUCUAAGCUAAACUGCUGAAACAAGAAAUAAAGUACCAAAACAGUAAAAAAAAAAACAUGUUUUUCUAUACUUAAACAUGAUUUUCUGUACCAGUUACAAAUAGACUAAAAACUGUACAAAGCUGUUCAUAAUUUGACUUCGAGGUCUUCUAAUGACUUAUAGCAGGCAAACAGAAGAAACUAUGAGAGUUGGAAUCACCUUAAAACGAUUUUUAUUGAAUUAGUUAUGAAUUUUCAAAAUUCAGCUUCAAGUUCAGGUUUUUCUGAAAAUUUUGCUAAAAAGAGUUUUCAAAAGCAAAACAAAAACUCUAAGUGAUACAAAACUUCUAGGUAUUUAAUAUAGACCUUUUGGUGUUAAAACAAAAAGAAAUCACACAAAAUUUUCAGUGUAAAGGACUGAACUAAAGCAUCACACAAAUAGCAGAGUAAACUAGCAACAAGUAAAAGUAGUUCUAAAUCUUAUAGCUAGCUUUAAGCAACCCAAAAAUCAUGGUUUCUACCUUCAAUAUCAGAAAAUAAUGACACAUAUAAGAACUUUAUGAUCUAAUCUCAAUACCUAUACAAGUUUGAACAAAGGAAACCAUUAAAACGAAUAAACAGUAAAAUAGUACCAAAUGCAGAAACCAUUUAAAGCUGACCUUCAAUUUCGAAAAUUCAUAACUUAAUCUACAGAAAUUCUUUUCAAGAGAUUCAAACUUCUAAAUGAUGUUUAACAUGUGUACUACAACUUUCAUGAAGACACAAACUUCAACUACUCAACUGAAAUGCACAGAUAUUAGUAAAGAGACAGCUGGGUCGAAAACUCAGAAUACUGAUAUGCAGAAUUUCUUAUUGCAGACCCUGGACUUUGAAAAAUCAUAUCUUAAUCUAAAGAAAUCCUUUUUGAAGUGAUUCAAAUUCUGGAAUAAUCUUUAGGAUGUCUGCUACAACUUUUAUGAAGAAACAAACUUCAAAUAACCAACCUAAAUGUACGGUUUUUAGCAACAAAAUGACUGACUCCAAAAUACAAGAAAGCUGAUUUGCAGAAUGUUCAACUAUGUUUUCAGCUUCAAACUUGACUAAUGAAUUCUAAAUGAACUUGCAUGAAACUACCCAGAUAUCAAGCUAAGAAUAUGACCUUUCAAGACAUGCAAAUGAUUUCUAAAAUGCAUGAUUAAUUCAAAAGAUAUGGCUACUUAGAGUUAACUAAAUGAACAAGUUACAAAAACUUUUCCAUUCAAAUGUCACUUCAGUUCAUGCAAAGUCUAAGGUUCCUAAUCAGUUCUAUGGAUGUUUAAAUGCUCAUAUAGGUUUCUUAGUCAUUCUAAGAUCUUGCUGUAUAAGAGAAAACAAGAGUAUCAAAUUCGAACAACAACACUGUAAUUACUCAGGACACCCAAACCUGUAGAACUAAAGUUCUAUAAUUAUCUUCAUCAGUUUCUAUUCUGUUUGGAAAAGAAUAAAUCUACUACAUGAACAGAAUCUUAAGCUAAUUCAAACAAUAGCAACAACAACAAUAACAAUAAUAUCAUAUAUUUGAUUCUCUAGCUGUUAAUAACAUAUAAGAACUGAUUUGGCUAACAAAGAUAUCAAUUCAAAAAUAACCAAAACUAAAUGAUUAGUAAUCCUAUUUGCCACAGAAUUCAAUAACAACAACAAAACCAUAGGAACUAUCCAAUCAUACAAGAAUUCCAACAUGAAUUCAAAAUCUAGUUUCACAAACUAAGAACAUAUAAACAAACCAAUUAGUUAGAAUGUAAAAAAAAAUACACUUGACACCAAAGUAUCUCUCUAAGUAUGAAUAGCUGCUGAAAACCUAUCUCAAAAUGUAGAAUGUUCUACCUAUUUAUAGGGUCUAAAAAGGGGAUAAAACUUGGCGUCCAAGAGAAGAACAUAAGAAGUAAAAUUGGAUUUGUUCAAUCGAAAUCUUACCCGUUUAGGUACUAGGCUAGACCCCUAGGGUACUAGCUCCUACUGCAUAGCUUCAAGUUGUCAUCAACUGGUCUCCAAGCAAUUGACACGUCCUGCUUAAAGAGGUCGGCUACCCUUGUUUAAGCUUUUCUAGGUCGGUUUCUGGGUUUCAAGGUGGUUGAGCAAGAUUUCGGAUGGGACUGAUCAUGGUUCCGGAUUGAGAAGCAUCUGGUGGAGGAGAAAGUCGGUGAAGAUGAAGGACAAGCUUCUGAGUUUAAGUCGUGUUUUCUGUCUAUCCAUUUGCGACAACACUUUCUAAACAAUGUUUUAGUUUGGGCUCAGGUUUUGGGUUAAUUGAUGUUGGGCCAAGUUUUGGUUUAUGGGCUAAAAACUCUCCUAGAAAAAUAAAUAAAAUAGAAAUAAUCUAAACAACUAAAACAGUUUUUAACAUGUAUUAAAAUAGAAAUAACAUAUAUAUAUAUAUAUAAGUGGACAUCCGCACUCCGGCUUAAAGUGCGGAUGUCGUCCGUUCUCCGCCGUCUCACGCCGACGACGGCUUCUCUCCUUCCCGGACGACAACACAGGCUUUCAGGACGACUUCUCUCCUUCCAGGACUGGCCGGCGACAAGUUUUCUGGCCAACCUUGAUCAAUCAUGGUGUUUUCCAUCUAGAGCUUCAAUCCGGCCGGAAAACUUGUCGCCGGCCAGUCCUGGAAAGAGAGAAACCGUCCGGGAAGGAGAGAAGCCGUCCCCGGCGUGAGACUGCGGAGAACGGACGACGUCCGUCACAUCCUCUCCGUGUAUAUAUAUAUCUAUACACACAAAAGAUUAAAACCAACAACGCAGAAAAUUAGUUAAAAUUUCUGAGUUGUCACAAUUUAUCCCCAUAAAUGAUAUCACCAAAGUAGCAUACCAACAAAACCAAAGAACCCAACACUCGCUCCUACACCAAUGAGACCAGAAGCCAAUGCUAACGUGAGGGCGCUGCCGGACAAGCGAGAUACUCAAUAUGUUUUCCUAACCAUAAGCCUUAUGUUAUUGCAGAGCAAACGAGACUCUUUAGAUGAUGACUACUCUGAGGGUUUUUUUUUUUUUCGUGGUUGGUAAUUUGUUGACUUCUAAUUGGAUUCUUAUAUCAGUUUAAUGGUUCUAGGGUGUUUCUUCUUUAAAUAAAUUCAAACGUGUCUUUACCAUUUUUACAUUCCUUUUUACCAUUUCCUUAUAUUGUAGAUAUCUACAAUGACUUUUUACCUUCCUAGAUCAAAAUUCAUAAAUACAAAUUGGUACAAAAUUAUAGCGCCAUGAGUAAAAAAGUUUAGCCAAUUAGUUAUUUUUGUUGUAGUCUAUGCAAUCAGUUGGCUUGAAGGGUACUAUGUUUUUAUCCAAAUUAGAACCAAAUUUAUAAAUCUGUCUGAAGCAUGCCCCCAAAAUAGCCAAAGUCAUCAGUGCCGCCCACGAUUACAAGGCAAUACAUCCCAUUCUCGCGAGCUGUUAACACCUUAUUGCUCAACAACACUUCGCCACCACCCUCAAAAUGUAAAGCAAUUCUUGGCAAUUCUGAAGGCGUUGUGGUAAAAAAACAAAGGGUAUCCAACCCAUAGUUUUUAUUUACGACUGACUCUAAUGGAACUGCCUUUUGUAUCUUAGUUACCACCCGGUCAAACAGAUCUUUUGGUAGUCGUGGAAAAGGUGUACCUGAGUCGAUCAACAUGUUAUCUUUUUUCAGCAGGGUACCAUUUGAGUUAAAUGGAACAAAAUCAUUUCCGAUGCUAAUUCUUGAUACCAUCACAUAAUAAAAGGUUGUAUGAUUGACUAAAGGUGUUGUCACCACCUCUUCAUCCAAAACUUUACUUGACACGACCCACCCCGAAUUUCACCCUGAAACCCGGAGUAAGUCGUGCGGGGACCACCUCCAAGGAAAAUUUACUGAAAAGAUUAAGGAAAUCUCCCUUGCAGAUGGACAACCCUAACUCGAAAAUUCCAAAUUACACUCUUAAUUCAACACUUCCAAACAUCACAUAAUUAUCCUUUAGAAAUUCUACACAUAAUAUACAAUAAUCCCAAAAUAUUCAGAGCUACUAAACACUAGCGGAAGCAAGAAAACACGAGUAGGUUGAACAUGUAACCUACUGACGAAAACUGGCAGAAAUGCGGGUGACUAUGCCUCGCCUCCUACUAGAUCCAACCCGAACUCUGCAGACUGGGCAAUUUAAAACGAAGGGCCCAGGGAAAAACAUUUAAUAACGUUAGAGUGAGUUGACAAAAAUAAAAUAAUAAAUAAAAUAUUUAUGUUUCCCCAAAUUAAUUUCUAAGGAAAAAUCGAAUGCAUGCCGCAAGCGAUAAAACUUUUAUCUCAUAAAAAAAUCGAGCCUCUCAGACUCUAUAAUAUAUAUAUGUAUUUACACUCGUCGAUACUCCCUAUAUAAAUUCAUGGGUCUAUAUAGGGCUACUACGCUCGCGUCCAACGCUCACGUCACGCCCUAAUGCGGUGCUACACUACGCCAUCAAGGUGGACAGACGGGUGUAUCAAUAUGUGUCCAUACCCCCUAUAUGAAUUAAACACUCAAAUAGGGCUACUACGCUUACGUCCAACGCUCACGUCACACCAUAAUGCGGCUAUAUGCUACGCCAUUAAGGUGGACAGACACAUAUGGCUAGCUAGCAUUUAUAUACUCUCUCAUAAAUACAUAUUUAUAUCCACCGAAAAUCCCAUUUUCGGUAACUCUCCAAGAGAAAUAAAAAUCGUCAAAUUAAAAUGACGUUAAAAUAUUCUGCAACAUUAAUUGUUCAACCAUGAACUAUAGCAUGCAUUUAUUUAAAAUAAACGUCCACUCACAAAUUAGGCCUAAGCCUGAUGUCGAUCUGGGGCCUUGUCUGCUCGAGCCUCCUCACGUCCUGUUCCAAAUAUAAUAUUAAUUUCCCAACCAAUAAUCCAAUAUUUAAUCAAAAUAGGCAAAAUUACCCGAGGGCCAUAAAUACGCUCAUCAUUGCCUAACUUCGAUAUUCUUAAAUCGGGACGAUCCGAACUUAAAUAUCAUACUCAACAGUCGUAAAUACAACCUCCCCAAAAUACGACUUAAAUCCUACGGCCGGAUUCUACAUUAAUUAACCGCCAAAAAUACCAAACUUCGGAAAUUCACAAACCUACCCAAAUCUCAUCCAAAAAUUCCAUAAAUCACAUCAAUAUACUCCUCUUAAUAUUCCACACUUAAAACCCUAAAAAUCUCCUAACCGGCGGCGGCCGCCGGAGGCCAAUUCCGGCGACCUCCAAAACCUAUGAAAUUUUGACAGAAUAAUCUCCUCAUCAUGCUCUACAACUUUCCUGACCAACACAUCACCCAAUUCCAAGCCUAACUAGGCUAAUCGAACAAAAACAUCCUAAAAGCCCUAGAAAUUUCAACUCCACAUUUCUCCUUACCUAGCUCAAGAGGGAGUGAGCUGAUUGGAGGGGUUGUUGCACGAGAGGAGGGCUACAAAAUGAGCCAAGGAUCACUGGUUUUGGUGGCCGGAGGAGGGAGCUCCGGCAAGAGAACCACCACGGCAGCUAGCGGCUCCAGGCGACGUUUCUCUCUCACGGCGGCGCUAGGGGAGCUGCUACCGGCCUAGAAUGGAAGCUGGGUUGGAGACCGAUCGAUUGGGACCGGUGCGGCGGUCUGGGGCGGCAGGACGGCGGCGGUCGGGCGGCCGGAAGGUUUGGCUGCGGGAGGACUCGGGGAGAAACCGGGAGGAAAAGAGAGGAAAAGAGAAUGGGUUUGGGCCUCACACCCCAAACCGGUCCAUCACCUAUAUACUACCCAAUUCUAAAAUAAAACACCCCGAAAAAAUAAUACCCGAAUAAAAAUUACCUUUUACUAGCUAAAAUUUAUCAUUUUUACUGUUGACAUAAAUUCUCCCACGAAUGAUUCCCCGAAAUUAAUCGUCCCUUUAAAACACCUCUAGGGACCAAUUAAACUAUUACCUCAAUGACGGAGACGGUAAAAUUCUUAUUAUAAUCAAGCUAGUAAAUAAGGUAAAAAUAUAAGGGUCGGGAUGUGACAUUACUCUUGUUCCUGAAAUAGAUCUUGCUUUCCAAAUUGGGAUCUUACACCAAACAAUGAGAGAAUCUCUUGCCUCCAACAUAAGGAGCAAUUUGAGAGACAAAUGACAAGGGCCCACGCCUAAGCCCUAUAACUCCCAUUUCAUUUCCAGUGCUAAAAGUGUUAUUGUUCGUAGUCUUACACCUAAAGAUAAUGUCUUUUAGGAUUACAACGUUACAUGUAGUGGAUUUCAACAAAAUUGUUUCUCUACUUAGAUUACCUAUUGUGUAUGUCCUGUCUGCAUAACUGUACAUGUACACGUAAUUUGUAGAAGGUUCUUUUUUAUACACUCAUGCUAAACUCGGGGUAUAGGAUUCGCCAAGUAGUCUACAGUCCCCUGACUGACAUGUAAUGUUCUACUAAGUUGAUGAGUUUCUCAGGUUAAAAACACCAAACUUGGUCUUGUAACAAGCAUUGCAUGGCUCACAUUGCGUCCAUAAUAGAUCGCUACCAUUAUCAGUAAUUGCAUAAAUAUCGAUAGGCGGAGUUCUCAUUGAGAACUUCAUAAUACGUUCGAAGUUGGUAUCAAGUUUCAUCGGUGCUUCGGGAACUUCUGGACCUAUCAACCGUCGAGAAACUUUGUUGUUUCUUUGUUUGUGCAAUGGUGAUUUGGGGGAAUUUUUAUGGAUAAGAUGGGCGCUAAAUUCACCCUUGAUAUUGUUGAUAUUGGUUGUUGCUGUAACAAUAUAGUAUCCAAGAUGAAAGAAAAAAAGGGUGAUGAUGACUAUAGUAUGGUUAAUUCUUGGUGAAGAACAAAGGGUAGCCAUAUGAUCGAGUUUACAUGAUGAUACACGAAAAAGAAAAAAAAGACUUGAAUUCGAGGCAAGAUCACAAAGGAUUUCAAAGAUUUGUGAUCUUUAAAUGUUAAAAGGUUACUUCACUCCACAAAUAUCCAGUUAUGAUUGAACGUUAAAUUUUAGUUAAAGAUCACAAUUGAUUGUUCAUAUAGAGAUUGUAAAUUUUGUGUUUACAGCUGAAAAACCACUAUUCACACUUGGAGACAUAACAUUAACGUGGACGUGGUUGUGGAAAAUCUAUUUUUAGAAAUAUUUGAAAUGUGAUGUGGUCCACGUUUUUUUGAAACAACUCUGUACUAGUAGUUUUAUAGGGCAGAGCCUCAUUUGAAGAGUUUUUUUUUCUUCUUUUUUCUUUUCCAAAUAUUGUAUUUUGCAAUAAUUUCCUACCAUACAUUUCAAAAUUAGUUAAUUAAGUCAUUAGAGUGUAUUAAAAUAUUACCUGAAAGAGCACAAAUAGUUUUAGUACAGAGUUACACGUGCUAAGUUGAAUCCAUAAGGAAUGUAUGAAAAAUGAAUAAACUAAUCAAAUCAAACUAAUCGAUUCUAAAUGAAUUUAACGCUAAUUUAGUUGAAUAAAAGUUGGUUGUGAUGCAAAAUUAAGUGAUCCUAGAUUUGAGUCUGACCAUCCUAACUCCAAGAUGAGGCCCUAUGCUCAACAUAAUGCCCAAACCCAAUUCUAGGAUCUUUUCGCUACCGUCGUCGCACCGUUACUAGUAGAACUCGAAAGAUAAAGCACACAAGCAUAGAGCCGAAUCUGCACCCUUGAAGGACAGAGUGAUUGACGCUACCUCACAACAUAUUUGUUACUUUAUCAGCAAGUAACUUUGUCAUCUUAGCCUUCAUUUUAGAUUCAUAUAUCCAUUCUUUUUAUCCUGUUUAAUUCCUUCUUUUGCACAUCAACCAAACUGAGUUUGCAUACUUUGCAUAUGUAGGCAGACUGACCAUGUUUUGUGACGAAGUUGCAUACCUUCAGUGUUGUUUGCUAUUCGAAUGCAAAAUGCAUUGGCCUCUUCAUGUCUAGACAGUAAGUGUUCUUCUGUCAACGGAUAUUCGCCACCACGCACUCUUAUCUUCUUUGUUCCCGAAAAAGAUCCUGCUUUCAAUGUAUGUUCUAUGACAACAGAUGAACUACAAAAACCACAUUACAUUGCAGAGCCCUUAUAUUUACUAUCAUAUAUAUACUAAAUGAAGUCCCACUCUGAUACCACACAGAAGUUUCAAUUUAUUUUCCAUCAAAGAAUUGAACUUUCUCAGAUUAUGUAAGAGGAGUUUUUGAGCAAAUGUGAUGUGAAUUAGUGUUCAAGAAGUUGUACUGAAUAUAUUGAAGGAGGGAAAUUACAUGGAGCCCUCUUUUAUUAUAUUGGUGUACUACGACAAGAAGCAGCAAAUUUUAAUUCAUGUGGAUCAAUUUCAUAAGAUGGAACUCUAAAGCUAUCAGAUUUUGGAUUCUUUUGGGGGAGUGUUGGCGAAUCUCCAUUCCAAGUGCAUCAGGUUUCCAUAAGUUCUACCACCCGCCACUUGGUCUAGUGGAACAGCACCAGAAACUUGUUUCAAGUCUUCUUCCCCAAGUUUCACCUUUAAGGAGCCAAUGUUUGCGUCUAGGUUCUUUAUCUUUGUUGUUCCUGCAGUGGAACCGGAAUGUCAGUAUGACAGGGAUAUAUAAGAAGUUAAGAACAUAACAGAUGAAAAGGACAAUGAACAAUUACUCUUAGAAUCCAUAAUUUUGGAAGUCAUGUUUUCAUUGUUGAGAACAAAUAUGGAAAUGAUGAUGAGUCACCUGGGAUAGAUACAACAUCAUCUCCUUGGUGAAGAACCCAUGCAAAUGCUAGUUGAGGAGUACGGCAUUGGUGCUUUUGAGCAAGGCUUUCCAAUUGAUUGUAAAUAGUCUUGUUCUUCUCCAAGUUCUCUCCUACGAACCGAGGAUGGGAUGACUAGAACAUAGAAAAGAAAACUGAUUCAAUUAACCAGUAUAAUUCUGUUUAAGCAGCCGGAGCCGUGCACCGCCAUAUCUCGAGUCAGGGGGAGGAGGAGUUUUGGUCUGCUAUAGACUGGUUUGAGUCCAGAAAUGGAGAGGGAGGUGAGUCUAGGGUACCUUUUAGGAUGUAUGGCCCCGAGUUGACAUGCAUGAGCAUGGAGAAUAUGACUGAGUUUCCUGGUAGUACUGGGAAUACGCCGUUGAUGCACACAGCUGUGUUUAAUACGGAGAGGAGGCCCGUACACGUGUCGUAUCAUGUCGGAAAUGUGGAAGGGGAAGGGUUGAUAAUGGUGAUGCCAUCUCCCGAAGGAGAGCUCGCGAGGAUGGUUACGGUGACGUUGCCGGUGGAGGAACUAGAGCAGCUACGUGAGGAUGAAGCUGUUCUGAGCCUAAACCCAAUAAGUGGGACGAAACAAGCAUAAAUUUCUGUUAUGUCUAUCUCUGAAGGAAUAAAAAGGUCUGAACGAUCUUUUUCAAGUUGAUUUUGUGUUUAUGUACUUUAAAUGUGAUUAUUACUGCUCAAAAAUUGAAUUAAAAUAGAACCUGAUCGAUAGCCUCACACAUCUUGAGCUUGAUUUUAUAUAUAUUCUGUUUCACUUCUGUAACUACUCUCUCUCUCUCUCUCGCUCUCUCUGGGUCUCUAUCAGAGCUAGGAGAUUAGG